rnacentral:ncRNA from 1 species
CCGGGGCGGCCAGCUCCCGGAUUGUUCAGACGGUGUCCCGUCCAAGCGUGGC